rnacentral:rRNA from 1 species
GUAGGGGGCGAGCGUUGUCCGAAGUUACUGGGCGUAAAGCGCGCGUAGGCGGGGGAUUAAGUGAGAGGUGAAAGGCUGGGGCUCAACCUCAUGCAGUGCCUCUCAUACUGGUCCUCUUGAGGGCGGUAGGGAGAAGUGGAAUGGCUGGUGUAGCGGUGAAAUGCGUAGAUAUCAGUCGGAACACCGGUGGCGAAGGCGGCUUCUUGGGCCGUUCCUGACGCUGAGGCGCGAAAGCUGGGGGAGCGAACGGGAUUAGAUACCCCGGUAGUCCCAGCCGUAAACGAUGGAUACUAGGUGUCGGGGGUAUCGACCCCCCCGGUGCCGCAGCUAACGCAUUAAGUAUCCCGCCUGGGGAGUACGGCCGCAAGGUUGAA